rnacentral:rRNA from 1 species
UACGUAGGGUGCGAGCGUUGUCCGGAUUUAUUGGGCGUAAAGAGCUCGUAGGCGGCUUGUCGCGUCGACUGUGAAAACCCGAGGCUCAACCUCGGGCCUGCAGUCGAUACGGGCAGGCUAGAGUUCGGUAGGGGAGACUGGAAUUCCUGGUGUAGCGGUGAAAUGCGCAGAUAUCAGGAGGAACACCGGUGGCGAAGGCGGCCAACUGGACGAAUACUGACGCUGAGACUCGAAAGCGUGGGGAGCGAAACAGG